rnacentral:lncRNA from 1 species
CUUCAUAGGCCAGUGCAGGCCAGGGCUCUCUCUCCAGAACUGAAUGGUUUCUCAGGACAGAGCCCAGCUUAAGAGAAUCUUGGACAUCAUUUAGUUCAAGCUCCCGCUAACAUCAACCAUCUCUGAAGCUUCUUGAAUAGAGGAUCAGCCCCAGCUGAAAUCCACCUUCAGUCAUGGAGAACUGGAUACCUGGCCCACCCUCACCCAGGAGGUGGUAAGAGUUCUUUACACCCCGCCGUCUGUCUUACCAAACCAUGAGAGUCGUACUCAGGAACUAAAGUUGACAUUUGACUCCCCAGGUUUCCACAGCUAAGCUAUCUCAGUGGUUCCUGGAUUCCUUACCAACUUGGUCAUAUUCCUCAAACACAUUUGAAAUAAAAGUGUCAGACAGUGGUGGCCCACACCUUUAAUUCCAGCACUUGGGAGGCAAAAACAGUGAGAUCUCUGUUAGUUUGAGGCCAGCCUGGCCCACAGAUCAUGUUCUAG